rnacentral:rRNA from 1 species
AUGACCUCGCCGGCUUCCACCUCUUCCUGGUUCUCCGGAAUCGUGCGCACAGCAUCCGGUAAUCCCCCUUCUUCAGCCAUGCCUCCCGCCGGCGGCGUCACCUCCGCCCCCGUCUCCCUUCCCGACACCCCUGCUGCCGUGAGCGGCAAGGGUGGCGUCGUUGCCCCUGUAGCCACCACAGGCGUAUGCGCUCGCAGGAAGCAGCUCCAGGGCACGCUGUUCAAGUACGGGCCCAAGUCCGCUCAGGUUGCGUUCAGGACUCGUGAUUUCACCCGUCAGGUGAUUUUCAUUGGUGGUUUGGCAGAUGGGCUCUUAGCAACUGAUUACUUGGAACCAUUGUCACUUGCGUUGGAGGUUGAGAAAUGGUCACUGGUUCAACCAUUACUUUCUUCAUCAUAUACUGGAUACGGAAUUUCCAGCUUGGAGCAAGAUGCAUUGGAACUUGAUCAGCUCAUCGGCUACUUGAUAAAUAAAGAUAAUUCUGAAGGAGUAAUACUGCUCGGUCACAGCACUGGUUGCCAGGAUAUUAUACAUUACAUGCAGACAAACUUUGCAUGUUCCAAAGCAGUUUCUGGGGUAAUUUUGCAGGCCCCAGUAAGUGACAGGGAGUAUAGGGCAACUCUUCCAGAAACAGGAGAAAUGAUAGAUCUGGCAGCGAAAAUGAUUAGUGCGGGCCGUGGAAUGGAUUUGAUGCCCAGAGAAGCAAAUUCAGAUGCUCCAAUUACUGCCUACAGGUUCCACUCCCUUUGUGCAUACAUGGGUGAUGACGAUAUGUUCAGUUCUGAUCUUAGUGAAGAUCAGCUGAAGCAGAGACUUGGUCAUAUGUCAACCACACAGUGCCUGGUUAUUUUUUCAAUGGCGGAUGAGUAUGUCCCUGAAUACGUCGAUAAGAAGGCACUUGUAGACAGACUCUGUCGUGCACUUGGAGAUUCAGAGAAAGUUGAAAUAAAAUGGGGAAACCAUGCUCUUUCCAACAGGGUGCAAGAGGCUGUCGAGGUUAUUGUAGAUUUUGUUAAGAGGGAGGGACCCAAAGGAUGGGACGAUCCAUGGAGCUAG